GAUAAAUUUCCGUUGAUCCUGCGGAAGAUCGCUGCUAUCAGGAUUCGAUUUAGCCAUGCAAGUCUCCUCGUAAGAGGGGCAAACUGCUCAGUAACACGUCGAUAAUCUGCCCUUAGGUCGGGGAUAACCUCUGGAAACUGAGGCUAAAACCUGAUAUGGAAAUUCUACUGGAAGGUGUUUUUCCAUAAACGCAAGGCCUAAGGAUGAGUCGGCGGUCGAUUAGGUUGUUGGUGAGGUAACGGCUCACCAAGCUUAUGAUCGAUAGGGGCCUUGAGAGAGGUAACCUCGAGAAGGGCACUGAGAUACUGGCCCUAGCCCUACGGGGUGCAGCAGGCGCGGAACCUUUACAAUGCACGAAAGUGUGAUAAGGGGAUCCCAAGUGUCUUGCUUUUAGCAAGGCUUUUGCCAUGUGUAAAGAGCAUGGCGAAUAAGUGGUGGGUAAGACUUGUGCCAGCCGCCGCGGUAACACCAGCGCCACAAGUGGCAACCGCUUUUAUUGGGCCUAAAGCGUCCGUAGCCGGUUCAGUAAAUUUUCUGUGAAAUCGUUGGGCUUAACCUAACGUCGUGCAGGAAACACUACUGGACUAGGGACCGGGAGGCGUCAGAGGUAUUCCUGAGGGAGCGGUAAAAUGCUAUAAUCUCAGGAGGACCCCUUGUGGU
rnacentral:rRNA from 1 species